rnacentral:rRNA from 1 species
CGCGGCCUAUCAGCUUGUUGGUGGGGUAAUGGCCUACCAAGGCGACGACGGGUAGCCGGCCUGAGAGGGCGACCGGCCACACUGGGACUGAGACACGGCCCAGACUCCUACGGGAGGCAGCAGUGGGGAAUAUUGCACAAUGGGCGAAAGCCUGAUGCAGCGACGCCGCGUGAGGGAUGACGGCCUUCGGGUUGUAAACCUCUUUCAGCAGGGAAGAAGCGAAAGUGACGGUACCUGCAGAAGAAGCGCCGGCUAACUACGUGCCAGCAGCCGCGGUAAUACGUAGGGCGCAAGCGUUGUCCGGAAUUAUUGGGCGUAAAGAGUUCGUAGGCGGCUUGUCACGUCGGAUGUGAAAGCCCGAGGCUUAACCUCGGGUCUGCAUUCGAUACGGGCUAGCUAGAGUGUGGUAGGGGAGAUCGGAAUUCCUGGUGUAGCGGUGAAACGCGCAGAUAUCAGGAGGAACACCGGUGGCGAAGGCGGAUCUCUGGGCCAUUACUGACGCUGAGGAGCGAAAGCGUGGGGAGCGAACAGGAUUAGAUACCCUGGUAGUCCACGCCGUAAACGUUGGGAGCUAGGUGUUGGCGACAUUCCACGUCGUCGGUGCCGCAGCUAACGCAUUAAGUUCCCCGCCUGGGGAGUACGG